UAGCUCAGAUAGUAAAGAAUCUGCCUGCAAAGCAGAAGACCCAGGUUCGAUCCCUGG
rnacentral:tRNA from 1 species